rnacentral:rRNA from 1 species
AAUAGAUACCCGGGUAGUCCACGCCGUAAACGAUGAGUGCUAAGUGUUAGAGGGUUUCCGCCCUUUAGUGCUGCAGCUAACGCAUUAAGCACUCCGCCUGGGGAGUACGGUCGCAAGACUGAAACUCAAAGGAAUUGACGGGGGCCCGCACAAGCGGUGGAGCAUGUGGUUUAAUUCGAAGCAACGCGAAGAACCUUACCAGGUCUUGACAUCCUCUGACAACUCUAGAGAUAGAGCGUUCCCCUUCGGGGGACAGAGUGACAGGUGGUGCAUGGUUGUCGUCAGCUCGUGUCGUGAGAUGUUGGGUUAAGUCCCGCAACGAGCGCAACCCUUGAUCUUAGUUGCCAGCAUUUAGUUGGGCACUCUAAGGUGACUGCCGGUGACAAACCGGAGGAAGGUGGGGAUGACGUCAAAUCAUCAUGCCCCUUAUGACCUGGGCUACACACGUGCUACAAUGGAUGGUACAAAGGGCUGCGAGACCGCGAGGUCAAGCCAAUCCCAUAAAACCAUUCUCAGUUCGGAUUGUAGGCUCG